rnacentral:tRNA from 1 species
GACCGGAUGGCGCAGCGGUUAGCAACGACUACUACGUUAGCUGACUCUUGUGCCGAAGGUCCCGGGUUCGAUUCCCGGCCGGAGCA